CCUACGGGAGGCAGCAGUGGGGAAUUUUGGACAAUGGGCGAAAGCCUGAUCCAGCAAUGCCGCGUGAGUGAAGAAGGCCUUCGGGUUGUAAAGCUCUUUUGUCAGGGAAGAAACGGUGAAAGCUAAUAUCUUUUGCUAAUGACGGUACCUGAAGAAUAAGCACCGGCUAACUACGUGCCAGCAGCCGCGGUAAUACGUAGGGUGCAAGCGUUAAUCGGAAUUACUGGGCGUAAAGCGUGCGCAGGCGGUUUUGUAAGUCUGAUGUGAAAUCCCCGGGCUCAACCUGGGAAUUGCAUUGGAGACUGCAAGGCUAGAAUCUGGCAGAGGGGGGUAGAAUUCCACGUGUAGCAGUGAAAUGCGUAGAUAUGUGGAGGAACACCGAUGGCGAAGGCAGCCCCCUGGGUCAAGAUUGACGCUCAUGCACGAAAGCGUGGGGAGCAAACAGGAUUAGAUACCCUGGUAGUCCACGCCCUAAACGAUGUCUACUAGUUGUCGGGUCUUAAUUGACUUGGUAACGCAGCUACGCGUGAGUAGACCGCCGUCGGGAGGUACGGUCGCGAGAAGUUAAACGUUAAAGUAAGUUAGUACGGCGUGAGACGUAGCCGACGGACGACGACGAGGGAGGAGG
rnacentral:rRNA from 1 species